CGUACGUGUGCCACAAAUAUCAUGUAUCGUCAAAUUAUAAAUGUAAAAUACUUUAUAAUAUCAAGUAAAAAUGACAUAAGUGAAAACAUAAAGUGCGUAUAACAAAAUAAAUGAGACGAGUGAGAACAUAAAGUCAACAAUAAGUAAAUUAUCGGUUAUGGUUGUGACUUAGUUCUUCGCAUUGGCAUAAAUCUUCCACUAUUGCAAUAAAGAAAUACAUAUCAGAUAAGUAAUUAAUAUUCACAUAAAAUAAAAGAUUAAGUAUCUAUGUAUAGUCAAUAAUGAUAGAUGUUGAACCCAUUCUUUCUUUCGAUUAAUUUUUUGUCUCAGCUUCCCAGCUAUCCAAGUUCUUGCAGAAUAUUAAUAGUUGGAGGCCACUUUCCUGUGAAGUAAGAUUACCAAAGUCUGAGGUUACUGUGUCCUUGAAUGUGCCCCAGUAAGCAAAAAGUGAAUCACAUCCUAACAUCAAAUAUCAGAGUAAGAUGUAUUACUAGCAGUGUGAUGACAAAUUAAUGCAUCAAACUAAGAAUAGGUUCGUAACAUUGAUGUUUACUGUCAUAUCAUUAAUGCUUUUAACAGCUGUACUCGAAAUACAUAAUAUUAAAUUGUAAGAAUGCUAAAAAUAUUCUGGCAAUAAAUGCAAUAGAAUGCUUAAUAAUAUACCUAAAAA